rnacentral:rRNA from 1 species
UACAGAGGGGGCAAGCGUUGUUCGGAAUUACUGGGCGUAAAGGGCGUGUAGGCGGUCCGGUAAGUCCGCUGUGAAAGUCGGGGGCUCAACCCUCGGAUGCCGGUGGAUACUGUCGGGCUUGAGUACGGAAGAGGCGAGUGGAAUUCCUGGUGUAGCGGUGAAAUGCGCAGAUAUCAGGAGGAACACCAAUGGCGAAGGCAGAUCUCUGGGCCGUAACUGACGCUGAGGAGCGAAAGCAUGGGGAGCGAACAGG